AACGGCCAUACCAUGCUGAAUAUACCGGUUAUAUACCUAUGCUGAAUAUAUCUCGUUAGAUCACCGAAGUCAAGCAUCAUUGGGCACGGUCAGUACUUGGGUGGGUGACCACCUGGGAACACCGCGUGCCGUUG